CUCUUUUAUAUUAGCAUAUAUUUGUGUACUAACAAAACUGUUUUUAUCUCUCCUUAACAUAUUUUCACUGAAUGGAGGAAGAAACAAGGAAGUUAACAGGAGCAAGGGAGAAGGUUGUCGACAGGUCAAACAACGGGAUUCAAAACACUAGAAGAUGAGUUGGGGCAUAAAGGUUAUGGAAGUGAGACCUGUGAUAGAUUGGGACAAAGGUCAUGCCCUGGAAUACUUUCUGGAGACUCUUGGGCUUAAUAAUGCCAGAUUGCCAGUGAUGUUCUUCCAAUGUACAUUGAAGAUGACAAAACUCAAGGUUGUGAUUUUUGACUGCGAAAACUCAACAUUGGCAUAUGUGAUUCUUUUAUACCUUCUAAAUUUGUAAGUCUACAGAAAAAUACA